AAAAUGACUGAUGUUUAUCGAGAUGUUCAGAGAAGUGAUACUAGUCUAUUGAAGUCUAAAAAGGCUAAAAAAGUUAUUGAAGUGAUUGAAGAUGCUACGAGAAAUGAAACUAGUCCAUGUGAAUAUGAUAGGACAACCAAGGUGAGGGGAACAAACAUUUGUAAGAAAGUUCUGCGAUUAA